rnacentral:rRNA from 1 species
GACGAACGCUGGCGGCGUGCUUAACACAUGCAAGUCGAACGGAAAGGCCCUGCUUUUGUGGGGUGCUCGAGUGGCGAACGGGUGAGUAACACGUGAGUAACAUGCCCUUGACUUUGGGAUAACUUCAGGAAACUGGGGCUAAUACCGGAUAGGAGCUCCUGCUGCAUGGGGGGGGUUGGAAAGUUUCGGCGGUUGGGGAUGGACUCGCGGCUUAUCAGCUUGUUUGGGGGGUAGUGGCGUACCAAGGCUUUGACGGGUAGGCGGCCUGGGAGGGUGGCCGGCCACAUUGGGACUGCGAUACGGCCCAGUCUCCUACGUGCGGCAGCAGUGGGGAAUAUUGCACAAUGGGCGGAAGCCUGAUGCAGCAACGCCGCGUGCGGGAUGACGGGCUUCGGGUUGUAAACCGCUUUCGCCUGUGACGAAGCGUGAGUGACGGUAAUGGGUAAAGAAGCACCGGCUAACUACGUG